rnacentral:tRNA from 1 species
GAGGGUGUAGCUCAAGUGGUAGAGCACCGGCUUAGCAUGCAUGAGGUCCUGGGUUCAAUCCCCAGGACCUCCU